rnacentral:lncRNA from 1 species
UAAAACUUAAUCUCUGAUCUUAAAACUAUUUUUCUGCCAGUCCUUUUAUCUUAAGAUGUUAACUCUUUCUCUUAAAUAUUUACAUUCUAGGAAUCUGUGCUGAAGGAAAAGGCAUUUAUUUCAAACCCAAAGACAGAUCCUAAAGACAAUGGAGAUAUUAAUCCAUGCGACAGCAAGUUCACAGUGAAAGGCUUGGGGAUGCUUUCUACUUGGUGUAACUUAUGCCUGGUUCAGGCAGAAAAUACUCUUCAAGGAACUGGUGAUGCUACAUUAUCCUUAAAACACCGAGAGAAAGAAUCUUUGAGAGUGGAGAAAGCAUACAAGAAGCAGAGAAGUCAUGAAAUGCUGAGAGAAGAGCAGGACAUCUGCAGUCCAUUUCAGGAUGAAAAAAGGAAGAAAGACCUUUCUUCGGAUGAUGAAGAUGCGAAAAUAAGAUCAGC